rnacentral:rRNA from 1 species
AGUGAACGCUGGCGGUAGGCCUAACACAUGCAAGUCGAACGGCAGCACAGGAGAGCUUGCUCUCUGGGUGGCGAGUGGCGGACGGGUGAGGAAUACAUCGGAAUCUACUUUUUCGUGGGUGAUAACGUAGGGAAACUUACGCUAAUACCGCAUACGACCUACGCGUGAAAGCAGGGGACCUUCGGGCCUUGCGCGAUUGAAUGAGCCGAUGUCGGAUUAGCUAGUCGGCGGGGUAAAGGCCCACCAAGGCGACGAUCCGUAGCUGGUAUGAGAGGAUGAUCAGCCACACUGGAACUGAGACACGGUCCAGACUCCUACGGGAGGCAGCAGUGGGGAAUAUUGGACAAUGGGCGCAAGCCUGAUCCAGCCAUACCGCGUGGGUGAAGAAGGCCUUCGGGUUGUAAAGCCCUUUUGUUGGGAAAGAAAUCCAGCUGGCUAAUACCCGGUUGGGAUGACGGUACCCAAAGAAUAAGCACCGGCUAACUUCGUGCCAGCCGCCGCGGUAA